AGAUCAACUGGCCUCGAACUCACGGAGAUCCUACUGCCUCUGCCUUCUAGUGUUGGGAUUAGAGGUAUGUGUCACCAUGCCUAGCCCAUCCUUGUACUUAUUAGGAGUUUAGCUUCUGGCUGGAUUACCCAUCUCAGAGUGAAGUAAAGAUGGCAGCUUGUUCUCUACUGUCAGACAAGGACUUUAGCAAAAUCGGCCCCCCCUAGCUCCAGUCUUCUGGAAGAUUCUUACCACACCCUAAAGAGCCCACAGGAACCCUGACAUGUUUAAAUUGCUGACAAGGUGGGUGUGGAGGAAGCAGCUAUAAUGAAGAAGAAACCUUUCUUCUACAAGAAAGAGAAACCUUAGGCUCUUGCUGAGACAACAGGGAAGGAGCCCAGAGAGCAGGAUCCCAUGGAAGAGUCACACAGGAUGUGGACACUGAUCAGACCUGACCUGGCCUGGUCUUUGACUUUGCCUGUGUCAUCACGCCUGGGGUUGGAACUGCCCCACCCCCACCCAUGAAGACUCCGUCGCCCUUUCCAGGAAAUGUACAGACAAGAGCAGGAAACUGUUGAGUCGCCUAUUUUUCUUUCCCUGCAAAAUGGUUUUAUUAUUUUCGUUGAACAAAAACAUCCUAAUGUAUUGAGGAUGGAGAAGAGAAAGACACCCAGACCUUAAAAUAGACUCAAUACGCCUGUACUUUUGGCUGGAGCAUCCUUGCCUGUAUCCUGGGAAAGGAUAUCUGAAAAACUGGAACUCCACCCAUUCUGCCCUCUAGGUUUGAGCUGUCGAAACUCCCUGGUGGCAAAAGGGCACUCUAGAUCAGGGGAAGCAGCCUUCGAAACAGCCUUGUGGCUGCUCUGGGGGGCCCUGUGGUUUCUCUUUAGCCAUCUGGGGGACCUUGAGUAAAUGACCCAACCCCUCUGAUAGUCUGUGUAACAUGGGGAAGACAAGAGAGUUCUAUCUUCCUACUCUCUUCCUUUGCUCUCUCCCUUAUCCAUAGGCUGUUUCCCACAAGUCUGAAGGCACCAGUGCUACAGAUGGAGGGAGCAGGUGAUAGCACAGUGGUGACAAGCCAUCUGCGCUGGUCCGUACAGCCCCUGUCAGCAUCCUUCUGCCUCAACUUCCCUCCUGCUGAGUUCUUCAUUUGGGGCCCACAAAGCCAUGUAUGCUCGUUAAAAAAACAACAACAAAAAAAAA
rnacentral:lncRNA from 1 species